UACGGGGGGGGCGAGCGUUGUCCGAAGUUACUGGGCGUAAAGCGCGUGUAGGCGGGUUGCUAAGUCCGCUGUGAAAGCCCGGUGCUCAACGCCGGAGGGUCGGUGGAUACUGGCAGUCUUGAAGUGGCUAGGGGGAAAUGGAAUUACCGGUGUAGCGGUGAAAUGCGUAGAUAUCGGUAGGAACACCAGUGGCGAAGGCGGUUUCCUGGAGCUAACUUGACGCUGAGACGCGAAAGCUGGGGGAGCAAACGGG
rnacentral:rRNA from 1 species